rnacentral:rRNA from 1 species
AGCGCAGGCGGUUUGAUAAGUCUGAAGUUAAAGGCUGUGGCUCAACCAUAGUUCGCUUUGGAAACUGUCAAACUUGAGUGCAGAAGGGGAGAGUGGAAUUCCAUGUGUAGCGGUGAAAUGCGUAGAUAUAUGGAGGAACACCGGUGGCGAAAGCGGCUCUCUGGUCUGUAACUGACGCUGAGGCUCGAAAGCGUGGGAGCAAACA